rnacentral:rRNA from 1 species
AGAGUUUGAUCCUGGCUCAGAAUCAACGCUGGCGGCGCGCUUAACACAUGCAAGUCGAACGGGAAAGUGGAGCAAUCCAUGAGUACAGUGGCGUACGGGUGAGUAACACGUGGGUAAUCUACCUCUUAGUGGGGAAUAACCCUGGGAAACCGGGGCUAAUACCGCAUAAGCCUGAGAAGGGAAAGCAGCAAUGCGCUGAGAGAGGAGCCCGCGGCCGAUUAGCUAGUUGGUAGGGUAAAGGCCUACCAAGGCAGAGAUCGGUAGCCGGCCUGAGAGGGCACACGGCCACACUGGCACUGAAACACGGGCCAGACUCCUACGGGAGGCAGCAGUGGGGAAUCUUGCACAAUGGGGGCAACCCUGAUGCAGCGACGCCGCGUGAGCGAUGAAGCCCUUCGGGGUGUAAAGCUCUUUCGUCAGGGAAGAUUAUGACGGUACCUGGAGAAGCAGCUGCGGCUAACUACGUGCCAGCAGCCGCGGUAAUACGUAGGCAGCGAGCGUUGUUCGGAGUUACUGGGCGUAAAGGGUGUGUAGGCGGUUCUUUAAGUUUGGUGUGAAAUCUCCCGGCUCAACCGGGAGGGUGCGCCGAAUACUGAGGGACUAGAGUGCGGGAGAGGAAAGUGGAAUUCCUGGUGUAGCGGUGAAAUGCGUAGAUAUCAGGAGGAACACCGGUGGUGUAGACGGCUUUCUGGACCGUAACUGACGCUGAGACACGAAAGCGUGGGUAGCAAACAGGAUUAGAUACCCUAGUAGUCC